AAAUCCGUGCCAAUUUCAAAGAUUUUCCAGUCUUUUAAGACUGGAAAAUCUUUGAAAUUGGCACGGAUU